GACGAACGCUGGCGGCGUGCCUAAUACAUGCAAGUAGAACGCUGAAGAGAGGAGCUUGCUCUUCUUGGAUGAGUUGCGAACGGGUGAGUAACGCGUAGGUAAACCGCCUUGUAGCGGGGGAUAACUAUUGGAAACGAUAGCUAAUACCGCAUAACAAUGGAUGACACAUGUCAUUUAUUUGAAAGGGGCAAUUGCUCCACUACAAGAUGGACCUGCGUUGUAUUAGCUAGUAGGUGAGGUAAUGGCUCACCUAGGCGACGAUACAUAGCCGACCUGAGAGGGUGAUCGGCCACACUGGGACUGAGACACGGCCCAGACUCCUACGGGAGGCAGCAGUAGGGAAUCUUCGGCAAUGGGGGCAACCCUGACCGAGCAACGCCGCGUGAGUGAAGAAGGUUUUCGGAUCGUAAAGCUCUGUUGUAAGUCAAGAACGGGUGUGAGAGUGGAAAGUUCACACUGUGACGGUAGCUUACCAGAAAGGGACGGCUAACUACGUG
rnacentral:rRNA from 1 species